CCCUUAGAGUUUGAUCCUGGCUCAGGAUGAACGCUGGCGGCGUGCUUAACACAUGCAAGUCGAGCGAAGCACUCUGCUUUGAUUCUUUCGGGAUGAAGAGCAUUGUGACUGAGCGGCGGACGGGUGAGUAACGCGUGGGUAACCUGCCUCAUACAGGGGGAUAACAGUUAGAAAUGGCUGCUAAUACCGCAUAAGACCACAGCACCGCAUGGUGCAGGGGUAAAAACUCCGGUGGUAUGAGAUGGACCCGCGUCUGAUUAGCUAGUUGGUGGGGUAACGGCCUACCAAGGCGACGAUCAGUAGCCGACCUGAGAGGGUGACCGGCCACAUUGGGACUGAGACACGGCCCAAACUCCUACGGGAGGCAGCAGUGGGGAAUAUUGCACAAUGGGGGAAACCCUGAUGCAGCGACGCCGCGUGAGCGAAGAAGUAUUUCGGUAUGUAAAGCUCUAUCAG
rnacentral:rRNA from 1 species